rnacentral:lncRNA from 1 species
UCCCUUUUUAUAGAGAGAGAAGAAUACAUUAUCUUAAUUAUUGGUAACCGUCAUGAAGAAUCAUAGUCCACGUGUCAUCAUAGGUAGUAGCUAAUUUUUGACAUUAACUUGCAUGCCACAUUUAUCAUAACUAUCAGGAGUUUAUCGUAACUGCCUGGAUUUUAAGGAAAGUGGCAUCGACUCGUGUUUCCCAUGUAACAGCUUGAUUUCUACAUCAAUUUC